GGGAGGGGGCCACAGGGGGUCUUCGGGAGGCAGCAGUAGUGAAUCUUAGGCAAUGGACGAUAGUCUGACGGAGCAACGCGUCGUGAGUGAAGAAGGCUUUGGGGUCGUAAAACUUUGUUGUUAGGGAAGACCCAUUGCUAGUUGAAUAACCUGGCACCUUGACGGUACCUAACCAGAAAGCCACGGUUAUAUAUAGGCCACCAGCCGCGUUAAUACUUAGUUGGCAAGCGUUAUCCGCAAUUAUUGGGCGUAAAGCGCGAGCAGGUGGUUUGUUAAGUCUGAUGUGAAAGCCCACGGAUCAACAGAGGAGGGUCAUUGGAAACUAGGAGAAUUGAGUUCAGAAGAGGAAAGUGGAAGUCCAUGUGUAGCGGUGAAAUGUGUAGAGAUAUGGAGGAACACCAGUGGCGAAGGCGACUUUGUGGUAUGUAACGGACAAUGAGGCUCGAAAGCGUGGGGAGCAAACAGGAUUAGAUACCCUGGUAGUCCACUCCGUAAACGAUGAGUGCUAAGUGUUAGAGGGUAUCCGCCCUCAGUCCUGAAGU
rnacentral:rRNA from 1 species